GACGAACGCUGGCGGCGUGCUUAACACAUGCAAGUCGAACGGAACGGCCCUGCUUUUGUGUGUUGCUCGUGCGGCGAGCGGGUGAGUAACACGUGAGUAACCUGCCCUUGACUUUGUGGUAACUUCCGGAAACUGGGGCUAAUACCGGAUACAAGCUCCUGCUGCAUGGUGGGGGUUGGUAAUUUUCGGCGGUUGGAGAUGGUCUCGCGGCUUAUCAGCUUGUUGUUGGGGUAGUGGAUGACCACGGCUUUGACGGGUAGCCGGCCUGCGAGGGUGACCAGGCACCAGGGGCCUGAGAGAGGCAGCAGUCGGGAAUGGGAGGCAGUAGGGGGGAAUAUGGCACAACGGGCGCAAGCGUGUGGAAGAAACGCUGGGUGCGGAAAGACGUCCUGCUGGUUGAAAACAGCUGUCGCCUGUGACGAAGCGUGAGUGACGGUAACGGAUAAAGAAGCACCGGCUAACUACGUG
rnacentral:rRNA from 1 species